rnacentral:piRNA from 1 species
UAGCACUUGUAACAUUUGAUGUGGUGCAUC